UUAGAUUUGUAUUCUUAAACCAACUAAAAAUAGAAUUAGGGUUUUGUUUUCACUAAUCACGUUGGUGUAGGAUUAGGGUUCAGUUUUUUUUUAGCUUAAACUAAAGUGUACCCACGACCUGAAUCAAGCAAUAAACUAUUUCCAGUCAAAAUUCCUCCUUUGGAGAUACGUUACCUUUGUUCAGCCUUGAACAUUACCUUCACAUUAAAGAGAGUGAUCUCUCAUGAACCAUCCAUGGCAUAACUAAGCAGGGUGAUCAUGUGUCAUAAGAGCAGCAAAUCGUUCUGAGAGCAUCCCAUAGCUCUAUAUAUGGUGAAGUUCACAAUCCAUCCAAGAUUGAUAGUAUCCUCUUGAUCCCUUCACCCACGCCUACUCAAGUGUUCCAGGGAAAGAAGCUAACCCCUUUCUCAAAAAAAAGAAAAAAGAAAAAAGAAGCCUAUCAAAGGUGGCACAAAAUGGUAUUAGAGCCACUUGAAGGUUAGGGUUUGUAUUCUUAUUCUUGUUUCAAAAAAAUAAUCUAUCUAUCUAUCUAUCUUAAACACUUUAUUCUCUGUCUAUAUUUUGUAAGUCAAACCAAGACAUCGUUUGAAUGGAAAUAGAAAGAAAAAUAAAGUUCAGAAGAAACGAGAACAGAGAUCAAACGAUCCAAAAAAAAAAACAAAGAAAAUGCGUAGGAGAAAUCGGGCUAGCUAGGAUAGGUCAUUCGGUUUGACACCAAAAAUCCUUCGGUCUACCUAUC
rnacentral:lncRNA from 1 species